AGAACAUCAUAAAGACAGGAAGCAGAUGCAGCGGAGCCACAGACCUCACACUCCCUGGCACUCCAGCUGCUGUCUGGAGUAUUGCUGAGCACAAGACCACUACAAAUAAAGACUGCAUUUCCCAACCUCCCCUGAAGCUAGGUAUGCACAUGUGACUAAGUUCUAUCAACAGGAUAUCAACAGAAGUGUCAUAUCAGCAACUUCCACAAACUUUCCUUUGGAGAGAGCUGGUCCAUAUGGUUAGCUCCCUUGUCUCUCCCUCCUUUCUUCUUCCUGAAACAAAGAUGCUGCCAUCUUGAAGCUAAGGACAACCACACUCUUAGGAUGGAGGAGCAGUGAGAUUGAAGGAGCCUGCAGCCCCAAGGACUUUUAGAGCAAGAGUCAUUAUCAGCCUGUCCUGCCUACCUUCCAACUUUUAUAUGAGAAACAACACACUUCUAUCUAGGUGAAACCACUAUUAUUUUUGGAGGUUUUCUGUUACUGCUGAGCCUAAGGUUCAUUGAUACAGAAAAGACAACAUAUUCAGAGGAAAUAGGAAAUAGUACUCAACUUUAAGAAAUAUCAUAAACUUGAGAAGGAUAUGAGUAGUAUACUUUUUACAAAGCAGAAAAUUAUGAGUUUCACAAGAGAGAUUGAACAAAAUAUCAUUGAAGAUGGAAAAAAUAAAAGGGAAACAAAUCACUUCUGAUAGAAGAACAUAAGAGAAGGAAUCAUCGUUCAGGUGAUAUUUGAGACAGGUCUUCAAAGAAGAAUAGAAUUGUGACAGAUGAAAGUGAGGAGGCAUUGAAAUAGGAGAUGAAAGGCAAGCUAGGCAGAAGGAACAGCAUUACAAAGACAUGGAAGUGGAAAAGCAUGAAUUGUGUUCUGGGAAUGUUAGAUGAUUGAGUUUAAUAGGAGCACAGGUUGUAGACAGUGAUUGUUACUGACACCCAGUGGACCUAUUUGUUUAUCCUGCUGCAUUUUAUUUCAUGACCUUUGUCACUAGCUGACAGUAUAUUAUUAUAUUGACUUUAUAUUGUCUGUUUAUUUUCUAGAAUUACUAAAAUAAAAGUUCUCAAACUUUUUGGUCAUUAUCAAAAAUUAGUAAAAGCCCCAAAGAGCUUUUGUUUAUGUGAGUUAUAUCUAUAAAUACUUACUGUACCAGACAGUUAAAUUGAGAAAAUUUUAAAUAGCUA
rnacentral:lncRNA from 10 species